rnacentral:lncRNA from 1 species
GGCAGUCCAGCCGCAGGGGCCACCCGAACAGUCUCUCCUCCUCACAGAAGCCUGGAGCUGGGCAUCCAAGAAGAAGCAGCCUCAUUUGUUUUCUGGUGUCAUCGUAGGUGGCCACCUAUGGCUUUUGGGAAUGUAAAAAGGGCAGCUCUCUGGCAUGUUCCUGACUGAGGAUCUCAUAACAUUUAACUUGAGGAACUUCCUCCUUUUCCAGCUUUGGGAGUCAAGCUUCUCACCUGGGGCGGGUGGGUUCUGCACCACCCUCCCACCCUCCUUCCUCCGUGUGGACGAUAGAGCCACAUCCAGCACCACGGACAGCUCCCGGGCGCCUUCAUCUCCUCGUCCUCCAGGCAGCACAAGCCAUUGUGGAAUCUCCACCAGGUGUACAGAACGGUGCCUCUGCGUCCUGCCACUCAGGACCUCUCAAGUCCCCGAUGUGAUGGCUCCUCAGCAUGAUCAGGAGUGAGCGUAAUUCAGACCUAUUUAGAUCCGUCAGCCCACGGACCAGGGGGACCUUGAGCAGGACAGUCUUUUGUCUCCAAGCAGUCAUUCCCUGUUAUACAAGCAAGAGUCAGGAGGAGGAAUGGUUUUGGCAUCAUCCCCCACAGACAGCAAUGGGGCCUUUAGGCCUGGAAGGAAGGACCAGGCUGCGGCUGGCAUAUGGAGGUUGAGCCCUGGGCACGGGGCAUCAGCUUCACCCGGCUGGGGAUGCCUUCUGCUGGGUUUGUCCAUCUGGCACCAGCUGGCUUCCCAGCACCGCCCCCACAACCAACCAGACUCCUCCUUCUGCUGUUGCCAUGGCAAUUGGCUGCCAUAUUGUACCUCAGAGCACUAGCUCCUAUCUGGAUUUUCCCGCGGGGUUCCUAGAGGGUGGGAGAUGGGUCUCCAGGGAUUUAUCCCUUUCCCCUGAUAUCUAUCCAAUAAAAAUUCAUAAUAACAUA